rnacentral:tRNA from 1 species
GGGCUCGUGGCGAAAUUGGCAGACGCGCUAGGUUGAGGGCCUAGUGGGAGUUAAAUCCCGUGCUGGUUCGAAUCCAGUCGAGCCCA